rnacentral:rRNA from 1 species
AGAGAAGCUUGCUUCUCUGCUGACGAGCGGCGGACGGGUGAGUAAUGCCUAGGAAUCUGCCUUGUAGUGGGGGAUAACUUGCCGAAAGGUAAGCUAAUACCGCAUACGCCCUAAGGGGGAAAGCAGGGGACUCUUCGGAGCCUUGCGCUAUUAGAUGAGCCUAGGUCGGAUUAGUUAGUUGGUGGGGUAAUGGCUCACCAAGACCGCGAUCCGUAACUGGUCUGAGAGGAUGAUCAGUCACACUGGAACUGAGACACGGUCCAGACUCC